rnacentral:rRNA from 1 species
GAUGAACGCUGGCGGCGUGCCUAAUACAUGCAAGUCGAGCGAAUGGAUUAAGAGCUUGCUCUUUUGAAGUUAGCGGCGGACGGGUGAGUAACACGUGGGUAACCUGCCCAUAAGACUGGGAUAACUCCGGGAAACCGGGGCUAAUACCGGAUAACAUUUUGAACCGCAUGGUUCGAAAUUGAAAGGCGGCUUCGGCUGUCACUUAUGGAUGGACCCGCGUCGCAUUAGCUAGUUGGUGAGGUAACGGCUCACCAAGGCAACGAUGCGUAGCCGACCUGAGAGGGUGAUCGGCCACACUGGGACUGAGACACGGCCCAGACUCCUACGGGAGGCAGCAGUAGGGAAUCUUCCGCAAUGGACGAAAGUCUGACGGAGCAACGCCGCGUGAGUGAUGAAGGCUUUCGGGUCGUAAAACUCUGUUGUUAGGGAAGAACAAGUGCUAGUUGAAUAAGCUGGCACCUUGACGGUACCUAACCAGAAAGCCACGGCUAACUACGUGCCAGCCGCCGCAUAA